GCCUGGGUGGCUCAGUAAGUUGAGCUUCUGACUUCAGCUCAGGUCAUGAUCUCAUGGUUUAUGGGUUUGAGCCCCACGUCAGGCU
rfam:Felis catus isolate Cinnamon breed Abyssinian chromosome A1, whole genome shotgun sequence.